AUGGCCAUGACAGAAAAGCUCAGAAAAUGUGGGUCAGUGGAGUGUGUGGGGGGCCCCAGGAGUUCUGUGUGGGAGCAGCUUCUGGAAGGAAGGGCCCGCACCAGCUCCUCUGGGGUUUGCCACACUCAUGAUGCACUGUGUAGCAAUCAGCCCCAGUAUUUUGGAGAUGGCACUCGACUCUCCGUCCUAGAGGACCUGAAAAAGGUGUUCCCACCCAAGGUCGCUGUGUUUGAGCCAUCAGAAGCAGAGAUCUCCCACACCCAAAAGGCCACGCUGGUGUGCCUGGCCACAGGCUUCUACCCCGACCACGUGGAGCUGAGCUGGUGGGUGAACGGGAAAGAGGUGCACAGUGGGGUCAGCACGGACCCACAGCCCCUCAAGGAGCAGCCCGCCCUCGAGGACUCCAGAUACUGCCUGAGCAGCCGCCUGAGGGUCUCAGCCACCUUCUGGCACAACCCCCGCAACCACUUCCGCUGCCAAGUCCAGUUCUAUGGGCUCUCGGAGGAUGACGAGUGGACCGAGGACAGGGACAAGCCCAUCACCCAAAAGAUCAGCGCCGAGGUCUGGGGUAGAGCAGACUGUGGCUUCACCUCAGUGUCCUACCAGCAAGGGGUCCUGUCUGCCACCAUCCUCUAUGAGAUCCUGCUGGGGAAGGCCUCCCUGUAUGCUGUGCUGGUCAGUGCCCUCAUGUUGAUGGCCAUGGUCAAGAGGAAGGAUUUCUGAAGGCAGCCCUGGAAGUGGAAUUAGGAGCUUCUAACCCGUUGUGAUUUCAAUAUACAUUCUUCUUUUGCCAGUGCUUCUGAAGAGCUGCUCUCACCUCUCUACAUCCCAAUAGAUACCCACUAUGUGCAUGCACGCCUGCACACUCACGGCUGAAAUCUCCCUAACCCAGGGGCACCUUAGCAUUCCUAAGUGACUAAGCCAAUAAAAAUGUUCUGAUCUGGCCUGA